CGCGAAAACCUUACCACCUUUGACAUGGCAGGAACUUACCAGAGAUGGUUUGGUGCUCGAAAGAGAACCUGCACACAGGUGCUGCAUGGCUGUCGUCAGCUCGUGUCGUGAGAUGUUGGGUUAAGUCCCGCAACGAGCGCAACCCUUGCCAUUAGUUGCUACGAAAGGGCACUCUAAUGGGACUGCCGGUGACAAACCGGAGGAAGGUGGGGAUGACGUCAAGUCCUCAUGGCCCUUAUAGGUGGGGCUACACACGUCAUACAAUGGCUGGUACAAAGGGUCGCCAACCCGCGAGGGGGAGCCAAUCCCAUAAAGCCAGUCGUAGUCCGGAUCGCAGUCUGCAACUCGACUGCGUGAAGUCGGAAUCGCUAGUAAUCGUGGAUCAGAAUGUCACGGUGAAUACGUUCCCGGGUCUUGUACACACCGCCCGUCACACCAUGGGAGCGGGUCUCGCCAGAAGUAGGUAGCCUAACCGCAAGGAGGGCGCUUACCACGGCGGGGUUCGUGACUGGGGUGAAGUCGUAACAAGGUAAGCGUAGUGCU
rnacentral:rRNA from 1 species